AAGAGGUGCACCACUCAAUGCAGUGUUUUGGAAAGAACCAAUAUGUUUGGAAUACUGGAAUUAUAAUAGAAAAAGUACUUUGAGUGCACUGAACAAAGGAAGUCCUUUUCCAACAUCUUGGUGUUGAUCCUUCUGCCUUUGCUGUAGUAAAUAACAUUUAUGCAGCCUUUUUGCUUAUUACCUUGUUAUUAGGAAAAAUACUUAAUGUACAGAUGAAUUUUACCACAAACAUAACUGACAUUCAAACCUGAUAUAAAGAUGAAUCAGACAAAUAACAGCAUUUACUUACAAAGUAUGGAUUUUUUUUUUUUUUUUUUAAUUUUAGUUCUCAUAGAAAGUACAAAUUCAGGUGCAUUGUACUGCAGCCAGUUUGGUGUGGAGGAAGCUGCACUGAAAGCACGGACACUAAAGCAGAGUGCAGUUCUGGUGUAGAAACUGAGGACAGAAAAGUAAGUGGCUUGUUUUAAUGUGAUUUUUCAUGCAACUCUAGCAGCUGGGGUUUUCUCUGGUU
rnacentral:lncRNA from 1 species